rfam:Planctomycetes bacterium GWA2_40_7 gwa2_scaffold_25198, whole genome shotgun sequence.
CCCAGUGACUAUAGUAGAAGUAAAAAACCCGUUCCCAUUCCGAACACGGUAGUUAAGGGUUCUGCGCCGAUGGUACUGUCUAACGAUGGGAGAGUAGGUAUUGCUGGGG